UCCGCCGAACCCCGGCCGAGUUUGGUGGCGGCUGGACCCAAGCUCCUCCCCCGGCGUUAGUUCCCGGAGAAAGCUCCGCGAAGACAGGGCUGACGUUGGGCUAGGGUGUGGGCGCGGGCAGGAGCUGUCCGGUCCCGGCGGAGCUCAGUGCGAGUUCCAGAAGCAAAAACAACAAAAAACAGUUCGGGUACAGUGGCUCACACCUGUAAUCCCAGCCCUUAAGGAGAUGGAGACUGGAAGAUCACUUGAGGCCAGGAGUUCAAGACCAGCCUGGGAAACAUCGCAAGACCCAGUCUCAAAAAACACAGUUAAAAAGAGGCUGGAUACAGUGGUUCAUGCCUUUAAUCCCAGCAUUUUGGGAGGCCGAGGAAGGCAGAUCACGAGGUGAAGAGAUCAAGACCAUUAUAGCCAACAUGGUGAAAUCCCAUCUCUACUAAAAAUACAAAAAUUAGGUGGGCGGGGUGACAGGAACCUGUAAUCCCAACUACUCAGGAGGCUGAGGCAGGAGAAUCACUUGAACCCGUGAGGCGGAAGGUUGCAGUGAGCUGAGAUCUUGUCACUGCAUUCCAUCCUGGUGAUAGAGUGAGACCCUGUCACAAAAUAAAAAAUUGAAAGAAAAAAUAAAGUUUCAGAAGCUUUGAUCUCCUUA